rnacentral:rRNA from 1 species
GACGACGCUGGCGGCGUGCUUAACACAUGCAAGUCGAACGGUGACGAGGAGCUUGCUCCUCUGAUCAGUGGCGAACGGGUGAGUAACACGUGAGCAACCUGCCCCAGACUCUGGGAUAACAGUUGGAAACAGCUGACUAAUACCGGAUACGAGACGGAGAGGCAUCUCUACCGUCUGGAAAGUUUUUCGGUCUGGGAUGGACUCGCGGCCUAUCAGCUAGUUGGUGAGGUAAUGGCUCACCAAGGCGACGACGGGUAGCCGGCCUGAGAGGGCGACCGGCCACACUGGGACUGAGACACGGCCCAGACUCCUACGGGAGGCAGCAGUGGGGAAUAUUGCACAAUGGGCGAAAGCCUGAUGCAGCGACGCCGCGUGAGGGAUGACGGCCUUCGGGUUGUAAACCUCUUUCAGCAGGGAAGAAGCGAAAGUGACGGUACCUGCAGAAGAAGCACCGGCUAACUACGUG